AUGGGGAAUUGUUGCUCUAGUGGAGAAGAACAACCAAAUGAAACAACCAACAACAACAAUGAAAGCAACAACCCUAAAAGUGUAGAAAACAAUUCAUCUACACAUAAAAAUAAUUAUUAUUAUAAUAAUCUUGAUCAAGGUUCAACAACACCAACAAAAACAUCUCCUAGUCCAUCAUCAAAACCAUCAAAACAAUCACCAAUAGGACUAGUACUAGGUAGACCAAUGGAAGAUGUUAGAACAACAUAUACUAUAGGAAAAGAACUUGGUAGAGGACAAUUUGGUGUAACACAUUUAUGUACACAAAAACAAACAAGUGAACAAUUUGCAUGCAAAACAAUAGCUAAGAGAAAACUAGUUAACAAAGAAGAUAUUGAAGAUGUUAGAAGAGAAGUACAAAUAAUGCAUCAUUUAACAGGUCAAGAAAACAUUGUACAACUCAAAGGAGCUUAUGAAGACAAACAUUCUGUACAUUUGGUCAUGGAAUUAUGUGCUGGUGGUGAACUUUUCGAUAGAAUUAUCGCGAAAGGACAUUAUACAGAACGCGCUGCAGCUUCAUUGUUAAGAACAAUUGUUCAAAUUGUUCAUACUUGUCAUUCUAUGGGAGUUAUUCAUAGAGAUCUUAAGCCUGAAAAUUUUUUACUUCUUAGUAAAGAUGAGAAUGCACCUCUUAAGGCUACGGAUUUUGGUCUUUCCGUCUUUUAUAAGCAAGGAGAUGUAUUUAAGGAUAUUGUAGGUAGUGCAUAUUAUAUUGCACCUGAAGUAUUGAAAAGAAGAUAUGGACCAGAAGUUGAUAUAUGGAGUAUUGGUGUUAUGUUGUAUAUUCUUCUUUGUGGAGUUCCUCCUUUUUGGGCAGAAAAUGAAAAUGGAAUUUUCAGUGCAAUAUUACGUGGACAUGUUGAUUUUUCAAGUGAUCCAUGGCCUUCAAUUUCAAGUGGAGCAAAAGACCUAGUCAGAAAGAUGUUAACUGUUGACCCUAGGCAGAGGUUAACUGCUAUGCAAGUCCUAAAUCAUUCAUGGAUCAAAGAAGACGGAGAAGCACCAGACACACCUCUUGAUAAUGCUGUAUUACAUAGGCUCAAACAAUUUAGAGCUAUGAACAAAUUCAAGAAAGUUGCUCUUCGGGUUAUUGCAGGAUGUCUAUCAGAAGAAGAAAUUAUGGGAUUGAAGCAAAUGUUCAAAAAUAUGGAUACUGAUAAUAGUGGAACAAUAACACUUGAGGAAUUAAAACAAGGAUUAGCCAAACAAGGGACUAAAUUAUCUGAUUAUGAGAUUAAACAAUUAAUGGAAGCCGCUGAUGCUGAUGGAAAUGGGACAAUAGACUAUGAAGAGUUCAUCACAGCAACAGUGCACAUGAACAAAAUGGAUAGAGAAGAACAUCUUUACACUGCAUUCCAAUAUUUUGAUAAGGAUCAUAGUGGAUAUAUAUCAAGAGAAGAGUUAGAGCAAGCUCUUAGAGAAUUUGGUAUGGAUGAUGAAAAUGAUUUGAGGGAAAUCAUUAAUGAAGUUGACACAGAUCAUGAUGGUCGGAUCAACUAUGAUGAGUUUGUAGCAAUGAUGAAGAAAGGAAAUCCAGAGGCAGCAACAAUGAAUCCAAGAAAAAGAAGGGAUUCAUUUGUAGCAUAAAGUAAAUCAUAUGAAGUGGUCAGUUGUAGAGCACAAGACCCAGAUGCGGUAGUCUUUCUAUCUUCUGAGUCUGAGCCAAAAAUUGCUGGCAAAAUUUCGCGGCGUGUUUCCCUUAUCC